AAAGGAUUUUAGUCCAACCUAAAACUACCUUAAUCACCACAAAUCCUCACCUAGUUUUAGAGAAAUUCAAGUAAGGUACAGCCUUCUUGAACCAGGAUACAACCUAAACCUGAGGGUAACUUUGUUAACACCCGAUUAAGUGGGCCUAAAAGCAGCCACCUUAAAAAUAGCGUCACAGCUUACUCACACUCUUAAUCUAAUUCCUUAAGCCGUUCCGAACCCCACCACAGUACCAAGCAAUUCUAUACAUCUAUAGAACUUUUUAUGUUGAAACUAGUAACAAGAAGAUCCCUCUUCUCUUAAUGCAAGCAUACAUCAGGCAGGACAAACCACUGAUAUUUAACAUACAUGAUCUCACAGUAGAAACAUCACAAGAAAACUCUACUAAACUAUUUGUUAACCUCACACUAGAGCAUUUCAAGAAAGAUUUAAAGAAAGAGAAGGAACUCGGCAAAUUUUAACCCCGCCUGUUUACCAAAAACAUCGCCUCUUGCGUAUCUAUAAGAGGUCCAGCCUGCCCAGUGACUCUGUUCAACGGCCGCGGUAUCCUAACCGUGCGAAGGUAGCGUAAUCACUUGUUCUUUAAAUGAGGACUAGUAUGAACGGCACCACGAAGGUUAUACUGUCUCCUCUCUCUAAUCAGUAAAACUAAUCUCCCCGUGAAGAAGCGGGGAUAAAAAUAUAAGACGAGAAGACCCUAUGGAGCUUUAAACUAAGAAUCAACUGCCCACCCCUUCAAUAAAAUUCCAGAAAACUAUCUUCUACCAGGGCUCCCUGACUUCUAGUUUUAGGUUGGGGUGACCACGGAGUAAAAACCAACCUCCGCAAUGAACAGGGAUCUUCCCUUACCCAAGAGCCACAACUCCAAGAAUCAAUAUAUUGACAUCAAUUGACCCAAUAACUUGAUCAAUGAACCAAGUUACCCUAGGGAUAACAGCGCAAUCCACUUCAAGAGCUCCUAUCGACAAGUGGGUUUACGACCUCGAUGUUGGAUCAGGGUAUCCUAGUGGUGCAGCCGCUACUAACGGUUCGUU
rnacentral:rRNA from 1 species